GAGUGAACCUGAAAAGGUGCACUGCGAAGUUUUGCUCUUUAAAAAUCUGGAUCAAGCUGAAAAUUGAAACGACACACAGCUCAUGUGUGUUCGAGUCUCUCAAAUUUUCGCAAGGCGAACCGGGGGAACUGAAACAUCUAAGUACCCCGAGGAAAAGAAAUCAACCGAGAUUCCCCCAGUAGCGGCGAGCGAACGGGGAGCAGCCCGGAGUCUGAAUCAGCUUGUGUGUUAGUGGAACGGUCUGGAAAGUCCGACGGUACAGGGUGAUAGUCCCGUACACGAAAAUGCACAUGCUGUGAACUCGAAGAGUAGGGCGGGACACGUGGUAUCCUGUCUGAAUAUGGGGGGACCAUCCUCCAAGGCUAAAUACUCCUGACUGACCGAUAGUGAACCAGUACCGUGAGGGAAAGGCGAAAAGAACCCCGGCGAGGGGAGUGAAAAAGAACCUGAAACCGUGUACGUACAAGCAGUGGGAGCCU
rnacentral:rRNA from 1 species